rnacentral:rRNA from 1 species
UACGGGGGGGGCAAGCGUUGUUCGGAAUUACUGGGCGUAAAGGGCGCGUAGGCGGUUUGCUAAGUUGGAUGUGAAAACUCUGGGCUUAACCCAGAGCCUGCAUCCAAAACUAGCAGGCUAGAGUUCUGGAGGGGAUAGCGGAAUUCCUGGUGUAGCGGUGAAAUGCGUAGAUAUCAGGAGGAACACCGGUGGCGAAGGCGACUAUCUGGACAGAAACUGACGCUGAGGCGCGAAAGCUAGGGGAGCAAACAGG